rnacentral:lncRNA from 1 species
AAGACCAGGAAUACUUCCUAGUAAGUCUUACCGUGUUUAUGCCAUUGGAUGUUUUUCCCCCAGGAAUGUUCUGCAUAGCAAUUGUAUCUUUUGGUUUAAGUUGAGUUUCCCAGUCUGAAAUAGCACAGGAAUUUUUAUAAUUAUUGGGAGAAAAGGUUGGGAUCAAAGAAAAAGGGAGGGAGACCCUAUGGAUUUGUUUUCAAAUAAUAUCUUCUAAGUAGAGAAAUGUAAGAAAGAAGACACAACCAGUGAUUCACCAGUGAUAGGAACAAGCAGUAGAAAUGGGAGGUAUUUUAGUUAGAAAGGAUUGUGGAGGUUGGGAAAUAAGACAGUAUUAUCUGGCAAAA